UUUUCAUUUGCAAUUUUGUGUUUAUAUGUUUAGUGAAUUAAACAUUUAUAGCAAGCAGCACAGUACGUUUUUUGGUUAGUUCACAAGUAACCCAUUUAUUAUUAUUAUUUUCUUUGUAGCUUUUUAGUAAUGCUAUUGUGGUAUGCAAGUGGAUUGCAGAGCUCUGCAGGAGGAUGUGUCGAUUUUCGGUAGCGAGCAUGCAAAGGAUGCUUGAUUUCAAUACUCCAUCAGAAGGAGAUUCUGGAAUAUUCGCUACUUCUAACAAUCAUCGAUAUCUUCUCAACUAAUCGCUUAUUAUGAUGACUAACCAGAUCUUGAACUUGGAAUUCCUAUGGCUACUCAAUAGAGAAGAUUCUUUAGAAGUGAAUAUGAUUAUUGAUGCUAGAUCAGGGGAAAAUUCUCUGAAACCUUCUGGACCUUUGUUAAAAUUAAAAAGAGAUCUAUCUGAAUAUUGUGGAUUUCCAGUUUUUAUAAAAGAUUGUAAGAAAAGGGUUGAAUUUGCUGAAUCUAACAAUCAAGAAAAUGAGAAAAAAAGUAAAAGUGACUAUUCAUUGUUUCAUCUAGAAUGUCUUUUUCAUGUCUUUUGUUCAAUUGACUUGGAAAAGAACCCAGAAGUUGAUUUUAGACGAUUUGUAAGUCUGUUUUAUUCUACUAAA